GACGAACGCUGGCGGCGUGCUUAACACAUGCAAGUCGAACGGAAAGGCCCUGCUUUUGUGGGGUGCUCGAGUGGCGAACGGGUGAGUAACACGUGAGUAACCUGCCCUUGACUUUGGGAUAACUUCAGGAAACUGGGGCUAAUACCGGAUAGGAGCUCCUGCUGCAUGGUGGGGGUUGGAAAGUUUCGGCGGUUGGGGAUGGACUCGCGGCUUAUCAGCUUGUUGGUGGGGUAGUGGCUUACCAAGGCUUUGACGGGUAGCCGGCCUGAGAGGGUGACCGGGCACAUUGGGACUGAGAUACGGCCCAGAAUCCUACGGGAGGCAGUAGUGGGGAAUAUUGCACAAUGGGCGGAAGCCUGAUGCAGCAACGCCGCGUGCGGGAUGACGGCCUUCGGGUUGUAAACCGCUUUCGCCUGUGACGAAGCGUGAGUGACGGUAAUGGGUAAAGAAGCAACGGCUAACUACGUG
rnacentral:rRNA from 1 species